CCUACGGGAGGCAGCAGUGAGGAAUAUUGGUCAAUGGGCGUAAGCCUGAACCAGCAAAGUCGCGUGAGGGAUGAAGGUUCUAUGGAUCGUAAACCUCUUUUAUAAGGGAAUAAAGUGCGGGACGUGUCCCGGUUUGUAUGUCCCUUAUGAAUAAGGAUCGGCUAACUCCGUGCCAGAAGCCGCGGUCAUACGGAGGAUCCGAGCGUUAUCCGGAUUUGUUGGGUUUAAAGGGUGCGUAGGCGGCCGUUUAAGUCAGCGGUGAAAGUCUGUGGCUCAACCAUAGAAUUGCCGUUGAAACUGGGAGGCUUGAGUAUGUUUGAGGCAGGCGGAAUGCGUGGUGUAGCGGUGAAAUGCUUAGAUAUCACGCAGAACCCCGAUUGCGAAGGCAGACUGCCAAGCCAUGACUGACGCUGAUGCACGAAAGCGUGGGGAUCAAACAGGAUUAGAUACCCCUGUAGUC
rnacentral:rRNA from 1 species